rnacentral:rRNA from 1 species
GGCGGUAUGCUUACACAUGCAAGUCGAACGAAAGUCUUCGGAUUUAGUGGCGGACGGGUGAGUAACGCGUGAGGAUCUGCCUAUAGGUUGGGGACAACUGAUGGAAACGUCUGCUAAUACCCAAUGUGCCGAGAGGUGAAAGCUUUAGUGCCUGUAGAUGAGCUCGCGUCCGAUUAGCUAGUUGGUAGGG